UACGGAGGGUGCAAGCGUUAAUCGGAAUUACUGGGCGUAAAGCGCACGCAGGUGGCUGAGUCAGUCGAUUGUGAAAGCCCUGGGCUUAACCUGGGAAUUGCGGUCGAUACUACUCAGCUAGAGUAUGGGAGAGGGCAGUGGAAUUCCCGGUGUAGCGGUGAAAUGCGUAGAUAUCUGGAGGAACACCGGUGGCGAAGGCGGCGUCCUGGACCAACACUGACACUGAGGAGCGAAAGCCAGGGGAGCAAACGGG
rnacentral:rRNA from 1 species